rnacentral:pre_miRNA from 1 species
UAAACGGUAAGGUUUUGUUUGGAUGUUGUCGGAUUCACCUCAAUCCACAUGUUUUGGAGUAGAUUAGGGUGGAAUUUAGUUCAAGUUCCACUCCAAUUCACCCCAAUACAUGUGGAUUGAUGCGAAUCCAACUACAUCCAAACAAGGCCUAAAUAUAAGUGUGGAUAGUGUAGAUAAAUAUAGAAGAGAUAGAUAUGAGGAUGGAAAAGGAUC